CGAACCCACACACCUUAAGAUCAUGACCCGAGCCGAAGUUGAAUGCUUAACCGACUGAGACCCCUCGGUGCCCCUCUCCCUCUCCUUAUAAGAGCCACCAGUCCUACCAGACUAGAUUGCUCCCUAAUUACCUCCUAAAGGCCCCAUCUCCAAAUACAGCCACGCCGGGGGUUAGGGCCUCAACCUCUGAAUUUUGGUGGGGCCCAGUCCAGUCCCCAGCACCAGCCAUUAGAAAGAGGAGCCAGCCAGCAGCCCAGUCUCGAAUGCAGGCGGCCGCACAGAGCUCUGUCCCUGGCUCACUCCCAAACCCUCCCACCAGAAUCCUAGAACCAGAGCGCCUGCAAGCAGAAGCCAGCAGAGCUGCGUGCGCUAGACUGUGCGUCAAUCAGGGAGCUUAGUUGAAGCAGCUGAAGUUAAUUUUGCUCAUUAAAGCCAAGCGGAAAUGCAUUAAAUGCUACGGAGCAGCUCACAGGACGGGCCAGACAUCUAGGUCUGGAGGCUGCGCGGCCGGGAGCAAUGUUCGACGUCACUCUGCAGAGCUGUCCCGGGGCAGGCACCCGGGACAGUGGGAACGGACACCUCCACGUGUGCUAGUGACCCCGAUAGUGAAUGGCUGGCCGCUGCGGCUUGAGCCCAACCCUGGAAGCCUCUAGAACUGCCACGUGGGUACCUCUGCUGCCCCCAACCUGUCCAGACUCUGUGUCACUGGCUCCCGUGGGCACCUCAUUGGCACCUUAUCAAAUGUCCGUUCCCCUGGAUGCCAGGGAGGCCGGGAAGGCAGGGGUUUCUGGCAUUUCCAGCCUCUGUAAUGGGAUGGGGUCUCCACCUUUCUCCAAGCUCCACGAAGCAGGGAAGGGGUAUACAAGGAUGGCCAAAAAGAAUGACAUUCAUCAGAGAAGCAGAAUCACUAGGAGGUUAUAUAUAUGUAUGUCUGCGCGUGUGUGUACGUGUGUGUGUAUACAUACAUAUAAAUACAUAUAUGUGUGUAUAGAUAUGUAUAUAUAUCCAUCUCUGGGUCUCUGGUCCCCCUGUUUUGGCCUCAUCUCCCCAGUGAGAGGCUUUCCCGGGAGGGAUGUGACCCGACUGGUGGCCAGCAGGAUGUAGGUCAAUGUGUUGGGGCUCUGCGUGCAAGCCCCUCUGUGCUCAGAGCAGGGUGGAGGAGGGCAGACCUCACGGUCAAGCGCUGACGUCCCAUGCUGGUCCAGGAACAUCCGCCGGACUGUUUUCCGUGUGGUCAGUGUGGACAGCAUCUCCUCCCCCUGCCCCCUAGGAGUUUUCAUUCAGCUUCUUAAUAAAAUAUGGCCAGUCCCCCUGCCCCAGAAAGUUGGCUUGUUAUAUUUAUAGCUCUUGAAAAACUCCCUGCCCAAAGCCUCAAACCCUCCACCCGGCCUCUGCCAACAGUGAUCCUUUCCCAGAGCGGCUAUUUCCGCCUGGCUCCGGAGGGGUGUGGUGCCCUGGGGCAUAUGCAGGUACUGGGUGGUGGGCUGACAGGCUGCACCCCAACAGGUUCAAGUUUGCCGGAAAGCAACUUAAGAUCACUUUCGGAGAAGGAAGUGUGCCUUAUUUAGGGGGAAACGGGAAGAGUCUUGCUGUUUAAGAGUCUGUUGCUUAUUAUGUAUUUUUCAUCUCCUUCUUUUUUUUUUUUUUUUUUUAACAGGAAGUAGAACGGGAUUAUCCGAAGCCUGUUUUUUUUUUUUUUUUUUUUUCCCUACACACCAGGAGCAGAAUUCAGAAUAAUUUUGCUCCACCAAAAGAGACACUUCUGUAAAAUUCUCAGGGUGCAGAGUCCUAGCUGGCCCUGCUCCCAUGAGAGAGGGCGGUGAGCGACAGAGUGUGAGUUUCUUUUUGCUGUUGUAACUAAGCGGUAGCUUAACACAACACAGAUUUAUUAUCUUACAGGUCUGGAGGUCGGAAGUCCAAAAUCAGUCUCAUAGGGCUAAGGUCAAGGUGCAGGUCCUGCUGGGGGCUCCGGGGCAGAAGCCUAUUCCUUGCCUGUUCCAGUUUCUCAAGGCCACCUCCAUUCCUUGCACUGUGGACCCUUCCUCUGUUUGCAAAGCCCGGCAGUGACCUCUGCUUCUGUCAUCACUUCUCUGACUCGGGCCUGCUGCCUCUGUCUUCCAAGGGCUUUUGUGACUCCACCGGGCCUGCCAGGCAACCCUACUCAUCCUUCCAGGCCUGACGUAGAUGUCGCCACCUCCAGGAAGCCCUCUCUGACUGUGCCAGGUGGAACUGGCUUCUCCUUCCCGAUGUUUGCGCCUCCCUUGCCUCUCAGGAGGGGUGACCGUGAACGUGGGGGUGGAAGGAGCCUGGCCUGACCCUUUGCAGAUCCACGUUGGAGUCCUGGGCCCAUCACCUACCGAUUCCACAAGGUCCUCAGCACCUGUGCUGUGGGGGAGGGAUGCCAACCCUGUCCUAAGACCCUCACCAUUCACACUGUCGCCCUCAAAAAGGUAAUAACAGCAGGGAAGGCAAACGAAUGCCACCCCUGACAGCAUCUCCUUUCACGAGCAUCUUCCUGCUGCUGCUGCCUGGCCUUCGUGUCUGUCCCUCCCUGCCCAAGCACCCUUGGGAAUCCCUGACGUAGUGGACCGUCACCGGCUCUCCUCCUCUACGGUUAUCAGGGCCAGGAUCUAAUUAACGAGAACUAACAGUCAGCAGUUAUUCCGACAGCAGCCGAGACUGUGGCUGUCACAGGGCGUUAUCUGGGCCAUCUUUCCUGGAUCCCAGGGCCUGGACCCCAGAGGUGCUGGUGCUGUCCCGCACACGUGGCUUCAUGCCCAGCACCAAACCCAAUGUGGGGCUUGAACUCAGG